rnacentral:miRNA from 1 species
AACCUCAUCGACUGGAAGGGAUUCAUUCCAGUUGAUGAGGCUGUUACACCUCAUUGAUUGGAAGGAGUUCCUUCCAAUCAAUGAGGUGUAACAACCUCAUCGACCAGAAGGGAUUCCUUCCGGUCAAUGAGGUA